AGGGCAGCCCUCAGCCUGGUGCUGUCCCCUAGGCGGGACCGAGCCCCAGAUAGGCGGGGCACCAGGAAGGGAGCGCGGGAAGCGCCUGGCGCUGCGCUGCAUCCAGCCGGAGAUGGGCUGCAACAGGAGGGCGCCAAAGGCGACGCGCCGGCGGCCAGCUGGUGGCCAAGCCCAGCGCGUCUGCGAAGCGGCCGAAUCACCACCGCGGGACCCAGAGCAGCGCGAGGACUCAACGCCAGGGCGCCGCCUAGAGGUCGGCCGCGGCCUCGGCUCCCCCGCCAGCGACAGCAGAGCGGCUUCCCCGUGGCGACCAGAAAUCCGGGUCAGAAAAAUCCAGCCUGGGUCUCAGGGAUGCGGCUUCCGGCACCUCAGACUGCUCUGAAAUCCACCCCUCCCGCAUAAGGAACCGUAGGAAAGGAAACGGAAGAAGAAGGCCCAGACAUAUUUAUUCUCCUUGUGACUCCAACUAAAUGGAAGUGUGUGUGUGUUGGGGGGGGGGUCUCCAUUUGGGUGUCUUUGAGAAUCCUGGGUUCUGCAUCUGAGUCUCUACUGCCUCCUCUCACCAUUCAGUGGCCAGUCCCCUUCAAUUAUGCUAGAACUCCGCUUUAUCUUCAAGGAGGGACAAAGUAGGGAAAAGUUGCCCCUAAAUCUUACAGCAUGCUCACCUACACUUUCUGAAUAAUUUGGAGAUCGCCAGCUUUGGGGAGAGUAUUCAGAAAACAUCUUAGGGUGAAAAGAAACAUUGCCUAAAUGGCCUUUAUUCACUGAGUGACCAUCAGUUCAACUAGUGUCUGAGUGGCAUUCAGGAGGGUGCCUGUUGGCACUAGCGCCUCUGUUGGUGGGUGUCUGUGCUGGGCAUUGAAAGUUGACUCAUUUGGGGCCAGGCCACCCCGGAAUAAGAAGGCUGGCUGGCAUCUAUGGGAAUGUAUUUGAGGGUGCAGUUCAGCCUCAUGCAGAGAGUUGUUUUUUAAAUGCAGAUCCAUGGCUAGGGAUCGGGGUAGGGAGAAGCUACAAAACCCUUGAAAAGUAUAUGCACGUCUUGCAUGUGCACAGAUCCAUCUGUUCUGUGGCCGUGGCCUCUUCAGAUUUUCUAGCAUCCAAGACUCUAAAAUGGUUCAAUCCCCUUUCCUCGGCCCGGGGAAUCAUGAGACCCAGGUCAGCAAUGGGCAGGGAGCCGGCAAACAGACCUGCCCCCAUUGCAGGCCUCUAGAGUGGGGCAGAGGGUGGGUAAUAACAGUCUUGAAUGGUGUGGAAACUACUGGCCUCCCAACCUAACAGCUCUCAGAGGCAACUCCUCAGAGGAGGGGUGACUGCUAGUAGCUGCCAUCACAGUAUUUUUUAAUAAAAAUAGAGCAUGAUAAAGAGUGAAAUGAGGGAGUUCGGGCACAUAAUAAGGAGGGAGCUGGAGGUGCCUCCUCAUGCAUAUCCUGGAAUAUGAAUAUUGGGAUGGAAACAAGCUACUUCCUGUCUUCCAGCUGUUAAUAAGCUCCCCCCUUCCUCCUCCUGGGGCAAGGAAGGACCCAGAGAGCACUACUCCCAACACGGACUGGCAGGGAUAGAGUGGGGCUGCCUUUCAAAAAAUUUUCAAACUGUAGACCAUAGUAUUUUCCCUACCCAUGCCAUUUUUUAUAACUUUAUUUUUUUAAAUUUUCUUUCUUUCUUUCUUUCUUUCUUUCUUUCUUUCUUUCUUUCUUUCUUUCUUUCUUUCUUUCUUUCUUUUCAAGUAAUCCCUAUGCCCAACGUGGGGCUCAAACUCACAACCCCGAGAUAAGGAGUUGCAUACUCUGUGGAAUGAGCCAACCAGGUGCUCCUGUCUUUUUUUAUCACUUUAAAAAGAAGUCGCCAGAAGUGGUUUUGGGGCCUUUUCUGGAAUGAGGGUCCGGCGUGGAGCCAGCAGGUCACACAGGGCCACACCUGUGUCCAUCUGGGAAGAAGGGGCUGUCAGUACACCAGACCCCCUCCAAGGUCUGCAGCCGGACCCAAGUCCUGGACCCAGCCCUGACUGAACCCGAUUUCAUCUUAGCCCUCCAACAACUCUUAGACCAGAAUCCUUGGUAUUUUUUUUGCUGAAUAACCGUGAGGCAUGAUCGAAUUCUUGGCUCUCCCACCCAGAAGUGUGCCUAAGCAGACCCCUCCAGGAGACAAAGUGAGCAGAAAAUCAACUUCACACCCACUUAUCUGGAGCCCGCAGUGAAAAGGGAUUUUCCGUGGUCUGGAUUCACCGCGGCCUGUCAGCGAUUCCAAAUCCGGAUUCCACAAAGUUUAGUAAAAAACAAAAAACCAGAAGCAAAACAAAAACAACAACGAACGAUCCAGUAGUGGAAAAGAACUAUAGGGAGGGCAGUGGAAGUGCCAGGUAGUGGUUGUUUUUGUUUGACUCGGAGGCUUUGAAGGAGCCGGACAGGAGCCGGUGGCAGAGCUCGGGCGACGCCAGUUUGGACACGACUCGGCGCUGGCCGUCACCUCCACUCUGGCCAAGACCGGCCUCUCGGUGUCUCUUCUGGGAGCCCCUGCCCUCGCUCAGCCCCUUUCAGGCCUUCUGAGCCUCUCUCCCCUUUGAGCAAGUACCUGGCAGUAAACGGGUGGGGCAGGGCAGAGGUCUGGCAGCUAGAGACCGAGGAGGAGAAAAUAAAAAACCCGCUUUCGGCGGAAAGAUGCAAAGAACCGAGGCCACAGGGCGUGGCCGGCAGAGCCCCGGCUCCGGCGGGGAAGGACGGGGCGUCUGGCUCCGCGGUGGCGACGAGCCCCGAGCCCCGGGAGCCGAGGGGGCUGUGCGUGGGGCUCGGAGAACUGUCAGCCUAGACGGUGGCUGCCGUCCUGGCCGCCGCGCUGGGCGACUCCCCGAGGAGGCGAGUCCCCGGCGGGCUCGGCCGAGGCAACGUCCCGGGGGCCGGCGGCCGAGGCGGCUUCUCCCCACGCGGACGCAGUCCGCUCGGGCGAAAGAAAGGGGCCGGGGCGCCUGCUUCGGCGGCUCGUAAAUUUGUUUCCCUUUCCUUUAACCCGCCCCCCGGCCGUCUUUCUUUUCAGGACAUGAGGGGAUGUAAACCAUUUGAAGUUCAUCAA